CUGGCGGCGCGUCUAAGGCAUGCGAGUCGAACGUAAGGUCCCUUCGGGGACCCUAGAGUGGCAAACGGGUGAGUAACACGUGGAUAAUCUACCAUUAAGUGGGGGAUAACUCUAAGAAAUUAGAGCUAAUACCGCAUAAAAUUCAAGAGACUCAAGUUUUUUGAAUUAAAGGAGUGAUCCGCUUUUUGAUGAGUCCGCGGUCUAUUAGCUAGUUGGUGAGGUAAUGGCUCACCAAGGCUCCGAUGGAUAGCCGGCCUGAGAGGGUGAUCGGCCACAUUGGGACUGCGACACGGCCCAGACUCCUACGGGAGGCAGCAGCUAAGAAUCUUGGGCAAUGGGCGAAAGCCUGACCCAGCGACGCCGCGUGGAUGAUGAAGGCCUUAUAGGUUGUAAAAUCCUUUUCUAUGGGAAGAAUGUUUGUGCAAAAUCAAGUUGACGGUACCAUAGGAAUAAGCCCCGACUAAUUACGUGCCAGCAGCCGCGGCAAUACGUGAGGGGCAAGCGUUGUUCGGAUUUAUUGGGCGUAAAGGGUGCGUGGGCGGAUUAGUAAGUUGGAUGUGCAAUCUUUGGGCUCAACUUAGAAACUGCGUCCAAAACUGCUAAUCUUGAGUGGAGGAGAGGAAGGCGGAAUUCCUGGUGUAGGAGUGAAAUCUUUAGAUAUCAGGAAGAACACCGGUGGCGUAGGCGGCCUUCUGGCCUCCAACUGACGCUGAGGCACGAAAGCCAGGGGAGCGAACGGGAUUAGAUACCCCGGUAGUCCUGGCCGUAAACGUUGUAUACUAGGUGUAUGAGGCAUCGAUCCCUCAUGUGCCGGAACAAACGCAUUAAGUAUACCGCCUGGAGAGUAUGCCCGCAAGGGUGAAAUUCAAAGGAAUUGACGGGGGCCCGCACAAGCGGUGGAGCAUGUGGUUCAAUUCGAUGGUACGCGAGAAACCUUACCAGGGUUUGACAUCUACUGGACCCCCUGAGAGAUCAGGGUUCCCUUCGGGGUUAGUAGACAGGUGCUGCAUGGUUGUCGUCAGCUCGUGUCGUGAGAUGUUGGGUUAAGUCCCGCAACGAGCGCAACCCCCAUCCUCUGUUGCCAACAGGUAAUGCUGGGAACUCAGGGGAAACUGUCGUCGAAAGGUGGAGGAAGGUGGGGAUGACGUCAAAUCCUCAUGGCCCUUAUGUCCUGGGCUACACACGUGCUACAAUGACGGUACAAAGAGUUGCAAGACCGUAAGGUGGAGCAAAUCUC
rnacentral:rRNA from 1 species